rnacentral:rRNA from 1 species
UGGGGAAUAUUGGACAAUGGGCGCAAGCCUGAUCCAGCCAUGCCGCGUGAGUGAAGAAGGCCUUAGGGUUGUAAAACUCUUUCGGCAGGGAAGAUAAUGACGGUACCUGCAGAAGAAGCUCCGGCUAACUCCGUGCCAGCAGCCGCGGUAAUACGGAGGGGGCAAGCGUUGCUCGGAAUUACUGGGCGUAAAGCGAGCGUAGGCGGUUAAUCAAGUUGGUGGUGAAAGCCCAGAGCUUAACUCUGGAACUGCCAUCAAAACUGAUUGACUAGAGAUUGGUAGAGGAAAAUGGAAUUCCUAGUGUAGAGGUGAAAUUCGUAGAUAUUGGGAAGAACACCAGUGGCGAAGGCGAUUUUCUGGGCCAAUUCUGACGCUGAGGUUCGAAAGCGUGGGUAGCAAACAGG